rnacentral:rRNA from 1 species
AGCUCCAAUAGCGUAUAUUAAAGUUGUUGCGGUUAAAAGCUCGUAGUUGGAUUUCUGCUUAUCAUCGUCUGGUAUGUGUUUCGCACGUUAUUUGGUUCGAUGUGGGCAUCCUCGUGGGGAACACAGCUGUCCUUAAUUGCGACAGGGUGUGAUUCACGACUUUUACUUUGAGGAAAUUAGAGUGUUCACGGCAAGCAAUUGCUUGAAUACAUUAGCAUGGAAUAAUAUUAUAGGACUUUAGUUCUAUUUUGUUGGUUUCUAGGACUAAGGUAAUGAUUAAUAGGGACAAUUGGGGGCAUUCGUAUUGACGCGUCAGAGGUGGAAUUCUUAGAUUGCGUCACGACGAACUACUGCGAAAGCAUUUGCCAAGGAUGUUUUCAUUGAUC